rnacentral:tRNA from 4 species
GGUAGGAUGGCCGAGUGGUCAAAGGCAACAGACUGUAAAUCUGUCGGCGAGAGCCUACGUUGGUUCAAAUCCAACUCCUACCACCA